AUAGUAGGGAGGUGGUGGAAAGCUACUGUGGCAGAGACAUGUUCACAUGUAAUAGUGUAACACCAAAAGCACACUCAUGUCCCUCGCUGUGAAGCAGGAAAUGCAGAAGGAAGGGACGGGACUGUUGCAAGCUGGCAUGUAUACACAAAGGUAGACACAGCUGUUCAUCAAGGUUCAAGACCUGAUGCGAGGAGCGCAGGCAGCGUUGUGGAGCCACGCUAGGAGCGCGGGCAGCCCCGUGGGACCUCCUCUGCCUUGCAGAUGGAGACAAACUGUGUACAAGCAGCCUGUAAGGAAGAGCCUAGCCUUGAACUGAGCGCGAUGAACUGAGCUCAGCAGCACCUGACUCAGUUCCCCCGACGGCACACGCCGGUGAUGGUCCCAAGGACAUGCUCGUGGUCCUGUGGCCUGGACAGCAACAGUAUCUGUCCCUGUGUGUCAUGUGCCCCUCCAUCAUAUUCUCUCUUCUUGAGGCCCAGCAUCGACACUCAACUGUUCUCUGCAUUUAGACGUGUUGCGUGAGAGACAUCACUAACUGCUGCCCACGCAGAAAGAAGCUUGUGAUCUGAGAGCCACACCAGUCUACACGUAUAAAUCUUGAACUUGAAGAGCUGAUCCAGACGUGGAUUUUAUUCCAACUAGAGAAUCUCCAGGGCAGUCUUGGAUUCUGGAACAAACAGAAGUCUUACUGCCUUGAAAAGGGGAACCGUCAACCUGAGCAUCAGCGCCGAGCCCCGCUGUUGAAUGCUGUCACUCCAUCCAGAGUUCUGGUUGACCUCAGAAUGGACUUCAGCCCCCUCCCUUCACUACCGAGAAAGAAUCUAAUUUGUAAGGUUCAUGAAGCACUGGGUGACUUGUGUCUUCUACCCCAUGCAAAACCUAACUCAAGGCCUCAGAGACGCUAUCUGUGUUCAAGGGAAUAGUAUUCAUUGAUUGACAAAGUAUAGGUAAUAAUAGUCUCCCCUUCCCAUUCUCUCCCUCUCCUCCCUCUUCCCCCACCCCCAGUGUAUAUGGGGGCACUCACAGAUGCCCUCAGAAACAAGACAAGGUGUCACAUCCCCUGGAGCAGGAGCUAGAGCCAGUUUGUGAGCUGCCUGGUAGGUACUGGGACAUGAGUCUGAAUCUUCUCCAAGAGGAGCCAGUGCUCUCAGCUGCUGAGCCAUCUCUCCACCCCUCUCUAGAUCUUUAAUUUUUAAAUACACAUUAUUUCUUUCUUGAGAACUUUCCAUGUACUGGCAACUCCUUUGUUUUACGUGCCACUGAAUUGUUUUUAAAUGGCAUGACUGUCUUAUAUUUGUUACAAUAAAUUUGAUGAUCUCAGAGGCUGGGGGGGGGGGGGCGGGGGGAGAGAAAGAGAAAAAGAGAGAAAGAGAGAGAGAGAGCUGUAAAACUGCAAAAAACAAUUGCGGCUUAGUGAUACUGGGAUUUUAAAGACGGCCUUUUUAUUUGUAAUGAAGAUUAUUGGCGAUAUCGGAUCAGAACACCCUUUCCCAGAAACAGCAUGAUUUGGAGUCAACAUUCCUAGGGCCACAGCCACACUUGUUUGUUUCCCAUGUAAACUUUCAAGCUUCAUCCCCAGAGGUAAGGACCCUCUGUCUGAGCGGUUCUACUGGCAAUAAAGAGAGUUUGGGCCCGACACAAGUUUCAUUUCUGAUUUGGAUAACAACAAGAAUGAACCAACCAAUAAAAUUCUUGGUUAAUGGGAAACUUCAUUUGAGGUUGGAAAAAAAAUAAAAAGAAAGAAAGAAAAGAAAAGAAAAGAAAAGAAAAGAAAAGAAAAGAAAAGAAAAGAAAAGAGAAACCAGCAUGGUGAGUUUCCUUAUGUUUACCACAAAGCAGCCUUAACUCCACCCCGGAGAUGUAAAUAUACCGACGGUUGGUUGUAUACAUUGGCACUGUUUGGUUUUUUGUUUUUCUUUUUUUUUGUUUUCAAAAAAGAAGUUAUGUAAACACAGCCUAUGAAAACCUAAUUGCCACUUUCAUCAUUUAGUCAAAUAACAGAUGAAAGAGACGGCACACAUCCAUCCCGGAAGGAGUCACUUUAUGACAGCCAGGCAAUAGAGACGGUACAUUGUGCAAUGUGCCCUGCCUCCUGGUUUAUGUGACAUUUAGGGUCCCUUUGCUACGCACACCUGCCAAGUAUCCUUUGAACACGGCCCAGAAACACCACCUCAGUAAAUACUGCAUUUCUAGGUCUGUGUGUGUGCUUCAGUGCCUGGAUCAUGUUUAUUAAAAAAAAACAAAAAAACAAAAAACAAAAAAACAACUGAUUAUCAUGGGACCAAAAGUUGAGCUUCAACUCUGAUCUCAAAGUGAAGUAGAAAAAGUCUUCCUGGGUCAGAAAUGCUACCAGGAGUGACUCCCACAGAAGCAGGAAGCCGUAUGUAGCCGUACGUCACAGGAGAUAGUCUGGGAUUCCACGGCUUCUUACAUGGUCUUUUGAUUGUACCAUGUCCAGAAACUGCCAAUACAUGCCACAGAGUUGGUUGAUUUCUAUCUUUUCAUUUUAACCAUGAGGAGAUGGCAGUUGAGGGUUACAUGAGCCCAUCCAGGGAGCUGUCCUGUCUCUGAUCAUUGGUUUCACAAACUCUUCCCAAACCUCACACCCUCACUUUCUGGUGGACUUGGGA